rnacentral:rRNA from 1 species
UAGCAUAUCAAUAAGCGGAGGAAAAGAAACCAACAGGGAUUGCCUCAGUAACGGCGAGUGAAGCGGCAACAGCUCAAAUUUGAAAUCUGGCGCAAGCCCGAGUUGUAAUUUGCAGAGGAUGUUUCGGGUGAAGCCACGGUCCAAGUCCCUUGGAACAGGACGUCAUAGAGGGUGAGAACCCCGUACCUGGCCGUCGGUGCCCCCCGCUGUGAAACUCCUUCGACGAGUCGAGUUGUUUGGGAAUGCAGCUCUAAAUUGGUGGUAAAUUCCAUCUAAAGCUAAAUACCGGCCAGAGACCGAUAGCGCACAAGUAGAGUGAUCGAAAGAUGAAAAGCACUUUGAAAAGAGAGUUAAAAAGUACGUGAAAUUGUUGAAAGGGAAGCGCUUGCGGCCAGACUUGCCCGCGGUUGCUCAGCCCGCCUUUUGGCGGGUGCACUCUUCCGCGGUCAGGCCAGCAUCGGUUUGGGCGGCCGGAUAAAGGCGCCGGGAACGUGGCCUCCCCUCGGGGAGGUGUUAUAGCCCGGCGUGCAAUGCGGCCAGCCCGGACCGAGGUUCGCGCUCUGCUAGGAUGCUGGCGUAAUGGCCGUAAGCGGCCCGUCUUGAAACACGGACCAAGGAGUCUAACAUCUAUGCGAGUGUUUGGGUGUCAAACCCGUGCGCGUAAUGAAAGUGAACGGAGGUGGGAACCGCAAGGUGCACCAUCGACCGAUCCUGAUGUCUUCGGAAGGAUUUGAGUAAGAGCAUAGCUGUUGGGACCCGAAAGAUGGUGAACUAUGCGUGAAUAGGGUGAAGCCAGAGGAAACUCUGGUGGAGGCUCGCAGCGGUUCUGACGUGCAAAUCGAUCGUCAAAUUUGCGUAUAGGGGCGAAAGACUAAUCGAACCAUUUAGUAGCUGGUUCCUGCCGAAGUUUCCCUC